CAGCGACGCCGAGCGCGCAGGCAACAGCCAAUGGCAAUCCGGCAUCGACUCCGAGAACGGCAAGUACCGCACCCAGCAUCAGCGUGUCGCCAUGGGCGAAGUUUACAGCCUUGGCUGACGACCACANNNNNNNNNNNNGCAUAAAUGCCUCCGAUGGCAAGGCCCGACAGGAUGUAUUGAAUGGUUGUCGUCACAACUCGAUUUAUCCUUGGGGGAAACAGCUUGGGUGAACUUCACUUGCGGCGGAUCGCGUGACUCAUACGCGUCCAGAAGGCGCGCGCCACACCUGCGC
rnacentral:misc_RNA from 1 species